UACGUAGGGUGCAAGCGUUGUCCGGAAUUAUUGGGCGUAAAGAGCUCGUAGGCGGUCUGUCGCGUCUGCUGUGAAAACCUGGGGCUUAACCCCGGGCCUGCAGUGGGUACGGGCAGACUAGAGUGCGGUAGGGGAGACUGGAAUUCCUGGUGUAGCGGUGAAAUGCGCAGAUAUCAGGAGGAACACCGGUGGCGAAGGCGGGUCUCUGGGACGGUACUGACGCUGAGACGCGAAAGCGUGGGGAGCGAACAGG
rnacentral:rRNA from 1 species